rnacentral:rRNA from 1 species
UGCGUAGGCGGUUUCUUAAGUCCGUUGUGAAAGCCCUGGGCUCAACCUGGGAACUGCAGUGGAUACUGAGAGGCUAGAGUGUGUCAGAGGAUGGUGGAAUUCCCGGUGUAGCGGUGAAAUGCGUAGAGAUCGGGAGGAACAUCAGUGGCGAAGGCGGCCAUCUGGGACAACACUGACGCUGAGGCACGAAAGCGUGGGGAGCAAACAGGAUUAGAUACCCUGGUAGUCCACGCCCUAAACGAUGCGAACUGGAUGUUGGGCUCAACUCGGAGCUCAGUGUCGAAGCUAACGCGUUAAGUUCGCCGCCUGGGGAGUACGCUCGCAAGAGUGAA